AGAAAGUCGCCCCUCAUCUCUCAUCUCUGCUCUCCCUUCGCAUUUGACGCUGAAAUCUGUUCUCUCUGCCUUGCUCUGCCUUCGUACCAAAAACACUGAUCUGCUACCAAAAACCAGGACAAUGUGGCAGAUUGUGUUUGUUGGUGGAGUUUACAACACAGGAUGCUACUUUUACGAACUUAUUUUCUCAAAAAUUCACUAAUCUGAUCGUCAAGCUGGACCACUACUUUCUGUAAUCUUUGUGUGGAACAGAUUCAACUUGCUAAUUCCAUUUGGGGGGAUAAGAAUUAGUAGUUGUCUUUUUUUUAUAAUAUCCU